ACAGUAUGCAAAAGCAAGAAGGGGGAGUGAGACAAAAAGCCCUUUGAAAAAGUAAUUUAUUGAAAACAAGUAAACUGAAAUAGGCUGUUUAUCAGCUGAUUGAAAGUUUAAGACCAUCGCUCAAAAAAUUACAAAAAACUCUCAAAACCAGAACAAAAAAUGUUCUCAGUAGGACUCAGUAAUGAGUAGCUCCACCGUUUUUGUUAAUCACUUCAAAAAUUCGUUUGGGCAUGCUUGAUGCGAGUGUUCCCAAGAGGCUGGUGGGAACAUUGCUCCAAGUGGUGAAGAUGGCUUCACGAAGGGCAUCAACUGUCUGGAACUGAUGGCCAUUUUUAUAAACUUCCCUUGCCAUCCAUCCCCAAAUGUUCUCUAUGAGAUUUAAAUCAGGGGAACAUGCGGGAUGGUCCAAAAGAGUGAUGUUAUUCUCCCUGAAGAAGUCCUUGGUCAAGCGAGCAUUGUGAACUGCAGUGUUGUCCUGUUGAAAAACCCAGCUGUUACCACACAGACGAGGGCCCUCAGUCAUGAGGGAUGCCUGCUGCAACAUCUGCACGUAACCAGCCGCCGUUUGACGACCUGCACCACCUGAAGCUCCAGUGUUCCACUGAAUGAAAAAACACCCAGAUCAUGAUGGACCCCCCUCCACUGUGCCGGGUAGAAAACAUCUCAGGUGGGAUCUCCUUGUCAUGCCAGUAACGUUGGAAGCCAUCUGGACCGUCAAGAUGCCGUCUGAUGGUUAUUGCGCUGCAGUCGGCACCAGUAAGGGCCUUAAUUUGGGUCGAGGACCGCCCUGUGUCUUGACGGACAGCCAAUCGGAUCCUCCGGCUCAGCGCAGGUGUAAUUUUUUUGGGUCUACCACUUGACUUUUUUGUUCCAUAAUGCUCAGGAUCUUUCAAAAAAUUUAGAAUGACUGUCUUACUGCGUCCAACCUCAGCAGCAAUGGCACGCUGCGAGAGGCCUUGCUUAUGCAGCUCGAUGAUCCAACCACAUUCAAGAAGAGAAAGCUUCUUAGCUUUAGCCAUCAGGAGGGCAUGACCGUGUGAAUGCCUGACAGAAAAUGAGAAUUUUGAGCAGAUUUGGGCUUUUACAGCCUGUGGUCUUAAACUUUUGAUCAGCUGAUAAACAGCCUAUUUCAUUUUACUUGUUUUCAAUAAAUUACUUUUUCAAAGUGCUUUUUGUCUCACUCCCCCUUCUUGCUUUUGCAUAUUGUAGCUCUACUUAAAACCUCAUUAAGAUCCAAAUGUGCAAAAGGUAAAUUCUAGCUAUUUUUCAACUGGUCUUAAGAUUUUGAUCAGGUCUGUAUGCAAACAUACUGAAACAAUAAAAAAGACAUCAGUAAAACAAGCAAUUUAAGAUACAUAUGUAACAAUAAACAAGUGGGUUCUCAGCUUUGUUUUAAAUACAUCUGUGGAAGAUGCCUGCUUGAUUUCAACAGGUAAACUGUUCCACAAUGUCGGUGCACUCAAAGAAAAAGUCCGUUCCCCAAACGUCUUUCUGCAGACUAUUGCAACUCUCAGAAGCCCAGUUCCGUGGGAACGUAAAACACAAGCGGGGACAUACGGGUUCACCAAAUUUGGCAGUACGAUGGGGCAAUUCCAUUUACAAUUUUAUAUGUUAGCAGCAACACCUUGAAGUCUGCUCUAACCUGAACAGAUAGCCAGAGCAGAGAGGCCAGCACUGGAGUGAUACGCUCAUAUCUACUGGCUCUGGUCAGAACACGAGCUGCUGCGUUCUGGACCAUCUGCAGACCACAAAGGCUCUUCUUUGGCAAACCUGAUAAAAGGACAUUACAGUAAUCUAAACAUGACACAACAAAAGCAUGAAUUAGGACCUCAGCAUCCUGAAACGACAGAAUCGAUCUAAUCUUUGAGAUGUUUCUGAGGUGAAAAAAGGUCACUCUGGUCGCCUCUUUAACGUGGAACUUGAACAAAAGAGUUUGAUCAAAGAACACACCAAGAUUCUUCUCGCUGUCUUUACAGUGAAUAACACAGUCACCCAAAAACAGGGUAAAAUUGUCAAACAGAGGAUUAAAUCUCCCAAUAACCAUCAUUUCUGUAUUAGCAGAGUUCAGAAGCAGGAAAUUUGUUGAUAACCAGCUCCUAACAGCUGAGAAACAGGCUUGAAUUUUAUUAUUGUCAGUUCCACUUUGAAGGACCAACAGCAUGUAUAACUGUAGAUCAUUUGCAUAACAAUGAAAAGAGAUCCCAAAAGAACUCAAAGAUAGAGAGAAAACAACAGUGGACCCAGUAUAGACCCCUGUGGUACCCCAUGCCUAACAGCACAGGACUCAGAGAACACGUUGUUGAAGAAAACACUUGGAGAUCUCUGACAGGAGGCCAGGUGCUCAACCACUGGAGCACCUGGCCUGAGAUGCCAAAGUAAUUCUCAAGUCUGUCCAGUGAAAUACAGUGAGCGUAGGCUUAUUUCAGCUGUAGGGGACAGCAUAUCAACAAAAAAUCCAGAAAAACACAUCCAAAAGUUGUAAAUUAGUACUUGGUGGAGUAACUCCUUGUUAGCAAACAGACGUUUCUUGUAGUUGAUCAUCAGGUUAGCACACAUCUCAAGAGGUAUUUUAUACCACUUCUCUUCUAAGAUUCUUUCCAGAUCCUUAUUCGUUGUUCUCUCAAUGCAGUGCAGUCAUCCCUUUGUCUUGGCAGAGAAACGGCCCUAAAGCAUAAUGCUUCUACCUCCGUGCUUGACUGUGGGGAUGGUGUUGUUGGGGUUACAUUCAGCAUUCUGCUCUCUCCAAGUUGAAUUGAUGCCAAGGAGCAGAAUUUUGGUUUUGUUUGACCAAAUCUCAUUUUUGAAAUUUAUACUGUUAGAUAAUUGGCUUCUCUGGAUUUUUGAUUGAUAUUAUGUCUCUUACAGUUAAAAUAAAUCCACUAUUACAAUUAGAGGCUGCUCCUUUUUUUGUAUGAGGCCAAAAUCAUGAAAUAUGUAAGGGAAUCAAAUACUUACUUCAUACUCAUCUAAGAGCAGACUAUACAUGUAGUACAGCAUUGCUGAACAGGAGAUGGAGAACUGGAGUUCUGAAAACAGUUACGAAACCUACUCCAAAAUUUGAAACAGCACACAAAUAUAAGUUUACAUGAUCACCACAGAGUAUAAACAUACUGUCUUUAGUCUUAGUCUGGUUUAAAUAGACUUACAUAUUUUGUUCUGUUUUUAGGUAAUAUUUGUGGGAUAACUGUUGGAUCUCCAUCAUUAGCUCAAGAUGAAUGGAUUCAGCUAUUCCUUUCCCAUGACCUGUUGUAUGAAAUGCAGUGGUUCUUAAAUCGCGUUACUGUUCUGUGCCACACAUCUGUGGACAAAUGUGUCCCAAAUCGGGAACAAAAAGAAAAUCCAAAGUACUGUUUCUGUUGACUUUUGUAAUGAAUCAUUAUGUUUUCAUAUGAAAGCCCUGAGGCUGUUGUGCCUUACAGUAUGUGAGUAGCUUGUUCCUUAUUAAUCAUAGUUCAAUACAGAGUUUCAAUAGAAGUGCAGUUCUGUCCUGUUUUCCAUCCACUUCCAUUUGCCUCCUCAUUCAUUGCCCCCUUUCAAUUAUAC
ensembl:lncRNA